UACGAAGGGGGCUAGCGUUGCUCGGAAUCACUGGGCGUAAAGGGCGCGUAGGCGGCCGAUCAAGUCAGGGGUGAAAGCCUGUGGCUCAACCACAGAAUGGCCUUUGAUACUGUUCGGCUCGAGACCGGAAGAGGUUGGUGGAACUGCGAGUGUAGAGGUGAAAUUCGUAGAUAUUCGCAAGAACACCAGUGGCGAAGGCGGCUCACUGGCCCGGUACUGACGCUGAGGUGCGAAAGCGUGGGGAGCGAACAGG
rnacentral:rRNA from 1 species